rnacentral:rRNA from 1 species
ACGAACGCUGGCGGCGUGCUUCACACAUGCAAGUCGAACGGUGAAGCGCCUUCCUUUUUGGUGGGUGUGGAUGAGUGGCGAACGGGUGAGUAACACGUGAGUAACCUGCCCCCUUCUUCUGGAUAACCGCAUGAAAGUGUGGCUAAUACGGGAUAUUCUGGGUCUGUCGCAUGAUGGGUCUGGGAAAGAUAUUGUUUCGGUGGGGGAUGGGCUCGCGGCCUAUCAGCUUGUUGGUGGGAUGAUGGCCUACCAAGGCGGUGACGGGUAGCCGGCCUGAGAGGGUGGACGGUCACACUGGGACUGAGACACGGCCCAGACUCCUACGGGAGGCAGCAGUGGGGAAUAUUGCACAAUGGGCGCAAGCCUGAUGCAGCGACGCCGCGUGAGGGAUGGAGGCCUUCGGGUUGUGAACCUCUUUCGCCAGUGAAGCAGGCCUGCCUCGUUUGUGGGUGGGUUGACGGUAGCUGGAUAAGAAGCGCCGGCUAACUACGUG